AAACUCCUAAACUCUGAACUACAUUUCGGAGCAUGAUGGAGUACCUUUUCUAAAGAUAAUGGGAAUCAUAUUCAUCACUAUCAUAACCGCCAAAUAGGAUGAAUGAAGCCUCUCUGACUCCUGCAGUUCUGUGUACAGCACGGUGAAGGGAUGUAACAUUCCCCUCUUCUUCCAUCCUCACUGUUUGUGAAUCCACUUCUUCCGCUAAUCUGCAGACUCCUGGAGACCAAGGACUAUAUUUUCCUGGGGACGGAUACCCAUUAAGAACACACUAAAUGUUUAUGGAAUCAAUAAAUGAAAACGUGAAUGCACGUG